GGAAUUUUGCGCAAUGGGGGAAACCCUGACGCAGCAACGCCGCGUGAUUGAAGAAGCCCUUCGGGGUGUAAAGAUCUGUCAGUGGGGACGAAACUCGACGGUACCCACAGAGGAAGCAUCGGCUAACUCCGUGCCAGCAGCCGCGGUAAUACGGGGGAUGCAAGCGUUGUCCGGAAUCAUUGGGCGUAAAGAGUUCGUAGGUGGUUUGUUAAGUUAGGUGUUAAAGGCGUAGGCUCAACUUACGUAUGGCACUUGAUACUGGCAGACUUGAAUGCGGUAGAGGUAAAGGGAAUUCCUGGUGUAGCGGUGAAAUGCGUAGAUAUCAGGAGGAACAUCGGUGGCGUAAGCGCUUUACUGGGCCGUAAUUGACACUGAGGAACGAAAGCCGGGGUAGCAAAUG
rnacentral:rRNA from 1 species